CGUUCUGGCUUUGCCAGGACAAGUACAGUGGCGGACGGGUGCGUAUCGCGUAGAUAACCUGCCCUCAGGCGCGGGACAAUCACGGGAAACCGUGGCUAAUACCGCACGUCGUCUGGACCCCGCAUGGGGACCAGAUGAAAGCCUUCGGGCGCCUUUGGAUGGGUCUGCGUUGGAUUAGCUUGUUGGUGAGGUAACGGCUCACCAAGGCAACGAUCCAUAGCUGGUCUGAGAGGACGAUCAGCCACACUGGGACUGAGACACGGCCCAGACUCCUACGGGAGGCAGCAGUGGGGAAUCUUGCACAAUGGGGUCACCCCUGAUGCAGCCAUGCCGCGUGGAGGAAGACACCCCUAUGGGGCGUAAACUCCUUUUCUGAAUGAAGAAACCCCUGUAGCUUCAGGGCGCGACGGUAGUUCAGGAAUAAGCACCGGCUAACUCCGUGCCAGCA
rnacentral:rRNA from 1 species